UGCAGUCGAGCGAGAACCUUCGGUUCGCCGGAGGGGAGAGCGGCAAACGGCUGAGUAACGCGUGAGUAACCUGUCCUUGAGAGGGGUAUAACCCCGAGAGAUCGGGACUAAUCCCCCAUACGGUCCCCACGCCCUGGUGUGGGGAGGAAACCCGCAAGGGGCUCUUGGAGGGGCUCGCGUCCUAUCAGGUAGUUGGUGAGGUAACGGCCCACCAAGCCUAAGACGGGUAGCUGGUCUGAGAAGAUGGUCAGCCAGAGGGAGACUGAGACACGGCUCCCACUCCUACGGGAGGCAGCAGCAAAGAAUCUUGGGCAAUGGGCGAAAGCCUGACCCAGCGACACCGCGUGGAGGAUGAAGGCCUUCGGGUCGUAAACUCCUUUUCCGAGGGAAGAGUAAGGACGGUACCUUGGGAAUAAGCCCCGGCCAACUACGUGCCAGCAGCCGCGGUAAUACGUAGGGGGCGAGCGUUACCCGGAUUUACUGGGCGUAAAGAGCGCGUAGGCGGCUGGAUAAGUCUCCUGUGAAAUCUCCCGGCUUAACUGGGAGGGGUCAGGGGAUACUGUCCGGCUUGAGGACAGCAGAGGAAGACGGAAUUCCCGGUGUA
rnacentral:rRNA from 1 species